GUAACGCGCCGGCGAAUCGCUCGAAAACCUCCUGUCCGCCGCGUGUUAUUUUAUUACGGCCGUUGAAUGGUGCUUGAUUGACCGCGCCGUGUUUGCCAAACGAAUUCCUUUUGAAAUUCGCGACGCGACUUGUCCACGCAGGAGGAUCGAUUUUUACGUCGCGCACUCGACGCGGCCGACCGACAGCGCGCGGCCGCCGCUUGACAAACCAUUGAUUUUAUGCCACCGUUGCCUACGCGGCCGGACGAUUAGGACAAUUGUAGAUUCGAUGGCCAUUGUCUCGCGACUCGACCGGAAAAGCCCGUGCGAUACUCGGGGCCCGAUCAUCGACGGGCGCCAUGGGAGGAGAGAGAAAGGCGCUCGCGAAUAAAUAUCCCCGUCGACUCCGAUCCGCGCCGGAGGAUACGCCGGCGAAUAGAGAGAGGAGUCAUUCAGCCGCGUAACGUAAAUUAUGUACAUACGUAUACGUGUAUUUAGAACGAAAGCAAUUUGACAAGUGGCCAUUCAUAUUUUACAUCGAUAAGCGUUUUUGCGGGGGCCCUGGAAAGGGAGGAGUGGGGAGGAGGAGAGCAGCGGGAAAGGAAAUAGGGAACUUUAAAAUUCAAUGGUCGCAAACGAGAGGGGUUUAAAAUUCAAUCGCCGGCGAGCGCGUCGAUAUGAAAAAAAAAUAAAUUUUUCGACAGUUUCAUUAAGGUUACAUUGUGCGCGGGAUACCGGCGAUACGAAUGUCUCGAAAAUUGGUUUUUUCCUGCCUUUUUUUCUUGUUUUUAUUUUUGGACAAAUUAUUUUUUGCAUUGUGCGCGACACUUCGUUGAUCCACGAUCGUUCGUUCUUCGAUAUCUUGCAGGAUGACAAGAGAGGGGUGAGAGGUGGAGAGGUAACGAGAGGAGGCAAGUAGAGGAGUGGAGGGAACGGAUUUAUCCGAUAAGAAAUAAUUGAAUGGACGCCGACGUCUCCAUCUCGCAGGAACAAUCGACGGAAGUCCCGGAAUGUUGCAUUUAGCCCGGUGGCGAAAUUACCUCGAUUCACCCCAUUACAUUUGGACUGGUUCACUACUUGGAUAAAGCUCGAUUCGGUUUAGCGAUGGGAAUAUCGCGCGGGAGUCACAGGGGGUUGAAAAUCAUCAGGAGAGGUUGCUACGACGUCUACAAAUGGAGUUUUUAACAAUUGCACCGAUUCGCGCGCGCGCAUAUUUUUAGAUCGUUCAGCGUUAUCGCUGCAGCGCGCUACGGAUAGAUGACUACGCGACGCGUGAAUGGAAUGCGAAACGCGACUACUGCGAGGCAUCUUGCGCUGUGACUGACGGCACGCACGCGGUAGCGCGACUCGCUCCCCCCCACUCCGCCACUCAGGACCGCCCACUUGCUCGCUGCGGCUACGCGGUCGUUCACCUCACUUUAGUAGCAAACAGUGCGUCGGCGCGAGAGCAAGCGUCAACGUUGCGCACAAACAUGGAGCGUACGAGAAGUGCCGGUGGAGCGCCCAAGUGGAAUUUAAUUCGACAAAACAGCCACGCAUACCUACCCCGAGGAAUCCGAGUCGCCGGCGAUUUUCACUGAGUACAUUUUUAAGGAGUAAUAUACGAGCGAACAAAGAGGGGGAGAUAAAUGCGGACGAGAAUCGUGAAUAUUCGCUGUUGCGCGGAUUAUUUCUUCUCGCGGCGACGUUCUUCUCUUAAGAUCGGAUUAUACGAGCAGAAAAGUCUAAUAGCGUACAGGCUUAGUUGUGAAUAUUCGGAUAAAAUACAACAUAAAGCCGUCGAAAGAACGACUUGAGAAUCAGAGAGACCCGAGGAGCGAAUUUACAGAUGGAUAUCAGCAUCUCGCAGUUGACCAGAAGACUUUCAUUGAUACGGUCUUGUAGGCCUAUUCUGUAACUUUUAACGACAAUAUCGUUAUCGUUACGUAGGCGUUGCGCUAUAAAAGCUGCGCAAGUAUAAAAGUUGCGCAAUGAUACAUUAUGCUAGUGACAUUAUCGUUAAGAAGUUACAAAAUAAGUUUAUUGGAAAGUUUUCUUUAACUUUUUCGUAUCUGUGGGUUAUAUAUGUCUCACUUAAGAAAAAAAUCACAACUUUAAGACAAAUAGUCCUAUUAAUUUCUACCUUGGCUUGUUUUAAAGAGGAGAUGGUUAUACAGAGUGUAUCAGAUUCAUCUUUGCAACGUUCUUGAGAAUGUAGAAUAGAUUGAGGUGAACAUAAAAGUCCUAUGCCGUUUUGCGAUAUUCGCAAUAAAUUCGAAAAGGGAUACCUUGUACAUAUUUUUUUGAUAACAUAUGAUUAUCUAAACUUUUCAAAAAAUUCAAUCUUUAGCUAGCAUACUGACAACUUUUCGAAAAAUUCAAUCUUCAGCUAGCAUACUGACAAUGUUAAACGUUUCUCUAUCUCGUUCAGCGAAUUUAUAAAAGAGAGGAUUACGUUUCGUUGUCAAGUAAAGACUGUUGCCUAUUAAAGUUAUAUAACUGUAUAACUAUAUUGAUAACCAUCAGUAGCAUGGAAUAGCAGAUUUUGAUCUGAAGUUGAAAAUGUAUUGAGAAAUGUUUUGUAUAGUCGCUAUCUAUUAUCUUAAAUUUAAAUAUUUUACAUUCUGUUUGUAAUAUUUAGGCUUUUCACAGUCGCUAAUUCGAAUUUAAAUUUUGAUAGUACAUUUGGAAUCAGCGCUUUAAAAAAAUUUUAUAAUCGUCUCAAUGUCAUAUCUCUUCUGAGAAAGCCGGAGAUAUGAAAGACACUCGUAUUCGCGCCUAUCGGGGGGCGUAUCUGAUAGUGAAUUCGCUCUUGGCAGAUUUUAUAGGUAUAAAAAUCCGAAUCACGCUCUUCUCUCGAUUGUACGUCGUCUCGCGCGGUGCGUUAUAUCGUCGAUAACGUUCCCAUCGCGAAAUGUACAAAAUUCAUGAGACAGGCGAACAUAAUGAUACCGAGCCUCUAUUUGGUUACGACGAACUGCCGGUUGGAAUUUGACUUUAAAAUAAUUUCUGGGGUAGCAUUGCGGUCGCCCGGAUAGACAUACGGAGUGAUAUUUAAUUCAUGACUAUUCACCAAACAGCGCGCGGCAGUUGGGAAGUUUAGCGACCAGUUUCGAGUUUAUAUACGCGAGCGCGCGUAAGCGAAGCGGAGCAGAGCGAGGCGAAAGCCAAAGUGGAACGUUUCAUGUGGAAGAACAGUCUCAAAGAGGACUGCGUGUAAUGUGCGACUUUGCCGCGGAUUGCACAAAAGCGACGCAGCAUUGACAGAUACACAGAAAAACGUUGAGUCCACUUCGAUUUUCGCUUUCACCUGUGCGGGAAAAGACGCUGCGCGUCGGAGGGAUAUCACUCCAACGUUAAUUCGAUCAACACGUUUGCGUUUACUGGCUUCGUAAAAAAAAUAUAUACCUUAUAGGAUGGUUCAGAUAGCCGAAAUGUAGAAGAUUCUUACGAAUUUCCAAAUAUGCCAUUAUCAGAACCAGAAUCUCUUCUUCUCUUAACACGUCCGUCACGGAAAACGUCGCCAUUAUAGCUCAUCUACCGCGUAUAAUGUAUGAUCAUUCACGAAUCUUUUUGGAUUAAUAAAUCAAAAUUUUACAUGAUUUGCAAAAUGGAAGAGGAGUUUUUCGUUUACUUUGACUUAAUCUAUUUGUACAUCGUGGCUCUUUUGUGAAUUUAUGAAUAUGCAAAUGUAGAUACAUUUGGUUCUUUUAAUGUUAAAAUCCGGAUUAUCCGGAUAUCCAGUUAGACUAUCCGAAUUAUUCGGAUCAUCUGGAUGAUUUAAAUAUCCAGAUUUGAGUUGUCGGAUAAUUUGAUAAACUGCAUAUUUGGACAUUCGGAAAUCCGGAUCACAUUUUUAGCCCUAAUCAGGGCUAACAGAGUGAACAAAUUGUCAAACUGCGAUCGUCGUCGGUUUAUUCGAGAAGAACGAGUUUCGCAACGCGACACACGAUCCCGAUUUCUCUUUCUGGUGCGAAAUUCAUUUUACUCCACUGCAGCGGAGUGUCGGCGGCGCAGAUUGUCGUUGGAGCUCGUAAUUAGGAACCUCAUCGUCUCUCACGACACAAUCGUGCCACGGAGUGCUCUCUCGUGUGUUUCUUUUUCCGGAUCGGCCACAGCACGGUAAGAAAGGACGUCCACCGUAAGAUCGGCGCGUGACCAGGGUUUCGCUGAGCGUGUCGCGGAGUUAAAGCGUGUAUGAGGGGGCGGAGGGAGCUUUUCAAGCCCGAAAGUCGGGCGUCGACAUCGACCACCUCGAGUUCGCCGGUCACGCCGCGUUUUGUCUCCGAUUUCCAGCGAAAGCAUUCCGGAGUUAUGAAACCCCCGAGACAGAGGAACUCCGUAUUCUUUCCGAACGGUGAUUCAAUAUCUUUCGCGGCCGGAGGAAGGGCCGUGUCGUAUGAAAGCGGGAGGACGGAGAAAAAGAGAGGCGCGGUGCGCGCGGCGAGAACGAAGAAGCGUGGUGAGUAGAGCGGAGGGCGGGGGCGCGGAGGGAGAGGCGAGAAUUGGAUUUUCGCGUCUCCCUAAAGCUGACGUGAUAUUAUCCAUCGAGGGGGCGGGCACUCCGGAGUUACUAGGAUCAGCUGCUAAGUCGCUCUACGACGCGCGAGUUAUUGCUAUAGUGGUACAAAAUGAUUUCUCGACGGGAGAUAUAUAGACCGCGAUCUACCCCCGCGGUAUUACGUCGUCUUGUGCUAUGGCGCGCAUCUCGUGGCGGCGGCGAGAUAUUCCGUGGCGUGGAUUAGUGUUGCAAAUACCCGCGGAGAGAAAGAAGGCGAACGGGCGAGCGAGUGAGCGCGCCGAGGUUAAACCGGUCGGAUCAUGUAUUAUUUCCCCGAGUAUGAACCGGCAAAGAAAUCGCGCGCGCGCUGAGCAUCAUAAAGUAUGCCGUUUAAGGAAACAAAAUGUAUGUUUCGCUGAGAAGUUCGAAGGUAAAAUGUAGGUCGUCCGCCAAACGCUGUCGGGUAGUUCUUAACUUUAUUUGGGUUAUUUCCGGGUAUUACUUCCAGCGUUACUCGUCAUAACUGCACGAAGCAAAUCCGGAACUGGAGAAAUUCAUUACCGACGUAGACGCGGCACGUUGUUCCAAAUUGAAGAUACGUAUUACUCGCCGAGGUGGCUGACGCUUUAACAGAUGCGAGUGCCGCGACGUUACUACCUCAGUGAAGAUGUAAAUGGAAAUAGUUAUGGAAACGUCAAGUGAAUUAACAUCUUGAGGACUGUACAAGAGGACGCGAAAGUCGGAUGUCUCGUAUCGCUUGUAUCAAGUAUGGGUGUAUUCUUCUAUCGAACGCUUUAUAUUGCUAUCAAGGAGUUUAUUCACUUAAAUCAAAAUACUUAGAGAUAUACAAAAAUUUCACGUGACGUUGAUUGCAGUAAGACACAUAUUCGUAGUUCAAGUUCAUGUGAUUUGUCUGCACCGUUCAUGAGGAGGAGAGUCGCUUCAGAAAACCUUUAUUUUUCACAAAAACAUCUCAAGCUGUGAGAUACACCAAAUUAAAGCUGAUGUUUUUAGAUUUCCAAAAUGUAUGUCAUAGUGUUAACUUGUAUAUUUUCUGGAAAAAUUGUUCCAAAUUCAUUGCCAAUGCAUAGAAAGGUUCUUUGUUUGAAUAUUGUAGUGACCGCGCGGUUGUUCGAUGAACACAAUACGAUGUUCGAUUUUAGAACGUUUUCCUUCGUUGUUUUGUUUCUAUUUCUCAGACGACUGUUUUUGAUGUCCGUAACUAAACAAAUUGCUUUCUUAUCGCUUUUAUUAGCAGUUAAUCUUCGUUAUCAACGGCGUUUUAUAGUCUCCAAUCGUUAUAGCACCCGAUCCUUUUGUAGAAGCAUCUUUUCCUCGCCAGCAGCAAUCUUCGGCUACAAUAAUUGCACUUUUUGCUAGUCUACGUUGAAUAUUUGAUCCACAUAGUAUCUCUAAAAUUACAAGUCGUAACAUAUAAAUCCUAUGAUUAAUAAUGGUCUGCUUUUGAAAAUUUUUCUUUCGGUACGUUUCCCGCUGAGAUUAGUUUUUGUGAAAAAUAGGGAUUAAAAUGAGAUACUUUUAGCGGCACUCUUUAAAGGGAUGCUGAAAGCUUUACUGACAGAAUACUGACAUUUUUUUGCAAAGUUUACGUCAUAUUGAUGUACAAAAUGACAAAUGUUUGUAUUGGUAUUGGUUAUACAAAAUUACAAAUGCUUUUAUGCAAUAAAAAUACGUGUAAAAAUAAAUAGGAGCAUUGCUCAAUAUAUAAUGAAAACAAAAAAAAUGUUAAUGUAAAAUUUCGAACUCUCAGUUAAGAUAAUAUUUGCCUAAUCCGUAGCUUAUAAAUAUCAAAAGUAUGCUUCGAUGUUCGAAACAGAAAAAUUUUGAAGAACAUUGCCAUAUCACAUCUGAAUUCAAUAACUUAAGAAUAUAUUUGAAAAAAGUUUGCAGAAAAAUUUCAACACAUGCGUGAUUAGAUUUUUUGCAGAAUAUAGUAAAACAAAGUCACAUAUAUAUAAGUCUUGUAUAUAUAAGAAAUACGAAAAAUAUAACAUGAUUGUGUUAGUGACGAUCGUCUCUGCGUUAUCGACAUUGUUCGAGUUCAUUAUUGAUAAGGUAACCGGACGUCCUGAUUUUUUCGGGACAGUCCCGGUUUUUCAUCCUUUGUCUCGAAUUUUUUCGAGUGCUAUUCGGGACACCGAUUUGUCAUCAUUUUCAAUGAUUGUCAAGUAAUUUUCGGGUCUUUUUACCCCUUCCCCUCGCUUCACACAUUUAUGAAGUAUCUCGAAUUCAGGGCUGGGAAAUCUGAUCACCUUUAUUAUUGAGCAUUUCCUUAACAUUGAAUGUCGUUACUUUGUGCAUAUAAUCUUAUGGUGAAAAUAAUAUAAAUGACAAUUAUUCCAGUGUAAUUUCGUAAAAAAUGAUAUCAUCCGAAAAACUGUUAUAAAUGUUACAGAGGAAACGCGAUAUGGAAGAAAGAAUAGUAUUCACUACACCGUUCGUGUGUAAUGGUCGAUGUAGGUCAGAAAAUUGUUUUAUGCUUUGAAUAGCAUUCUGCUGAGU